rnacentral:rRNA from 1 species
UAAGCGGAGGAAAAGAAACUAACAAGGAUUCCCCUAGUAACUGCGAGUGAAGCGGGAAAAGCUCAAAUUUGGAAUCUGGUGGUCUUUGGCCAUCCGAGUUGUAAUUUAGAGAAGCGUCUUCCGCGCUGGNCCGUGCACAAGUCUCCUGGAAUGGAGCGUCAUAGAGGGUGAGAAUCCCGUCUUUGGCAUGGAAUCCCAGGGCUUCUGUGAUGCGCUCUCGACGAGUCGAGUUGUUUGGGAAUGCAGCUCAAAAUGGGUGGUGAACUCCAUCUAAAGUUAAAUAUUGGCGAGAGACCGAUAGCGAACAAGUACCGUGAGGGAAAGAUGAAAAGCACUUUGGAAAGAGAGUGAAACAGUACGUGAAAUUGUUGAAAGGGAAACGCUUGAAGUCAGUCGCGUCGACCGAGACUCAGCCUUGCCUCGGCUUGGUGUACUUCUCGGCUUGACGGGUCAGCAUCGAUUUCAAUCCUCGGAUAAUGGCAAGGGAAAGGUAGCACCUUUUUAGGUGUGUUAUAGUCCUCUGUCGCAUGCGAGGAUCGGGAUCGAGGAACUCAGCACGCACCUCAGGGUGUCGGGGCCUUGGCCCACGUUUACGUGCUUAGGA